UUUUUCCCCGGAGUCUUGCUCCCCGGAAAAAGAGGAGUGGCGAACGGGUGAUUAGCCGUGGGUAACCUGCCCAUCAAAAGGGGAUAACACUUGGAAACAUGUGCUAAUACCGUAUAACAAUCGAAACCGCAUGGUUUUGAUUUGAAGGGCGGUUUCGGGUGUCGCUGAUGGAUGGACCGGCGGUGCAUUAGCUAGUUGGUGAGGUAACGGCUCACCAAGGCGACGAUGCAUAGCCGACCUGAGAGGGUGAUCGGCCACAUUGGGACUGAGACACGGCCCAAACUCCUACGGGAGGCAGCAGUAGGGAAUCUUCGGCAAUGGACGAAAGUCUGACCGAGCAACGCCGCGUGAGUGAAGAAGGUUUUCGGAUCGUAAAACUCUGUUGUUAGAGAAGAACAAGGAUGAUAGUAACUGUUCAUCCCUUGACGGUAUCUAACCAGAAAGCCACGGCUAACUACGUGCCACCAGCCGCGGUAAUACGUAGGUGGCAAGCGUUGUCCGGAUUUAUUUGGCCGUAAAGCGAGCGCAAGCGGUUUUCUUUAAGUCUGAUGGUGAAAGCCCCCCGGCUUCACCCGGGGAAGGGUCAUUGGGAAACUUGGAAAAACUUGAGUGGAAAAAAAA
rnacentral:rRNA from 1 species